ensembl:lncRNA
AUGAAACAAAGAACUCAGUUCUUGGUGAAUGAAAUUUUACAUGUACCUCCCCACUUUCUCUUAGGAGGACUACACUUGAAAAUAAUUGAGAAACGGCAAUUGGUUUCAGGCUUAAGAGUCUUUUUUCAUUAGGAAUUUGUAAUAAAAUAGAUUCUGAAACUAGAAAUAAAUGAGAUAUUAAUCAACAGACCAACAUCAAUCAUGUAAAUAAAUGCCACUCAUAUAAUUUGGCAACUGAAAUGCCUAAAUAACCCGGUAGGUAGGAGAGAAAGAGAGGAAAAAUUAACCAUUCAUCAUUUUUGCUGCAGUCUCCCUGUUUUCUUCCACACCCCAUUAUAGCGAAUGAAGAGAAAAGAACAUCGUAAAAUAUAAAGCCAGUAGUAAAUACGGUCGCUAGUCUCCCCAGUACCUUCCAUGGAUUCCCUACCCUGAUCCUUUUUAGUUUGAAAGAAUAAGUUUGACUAAAUCUGUGAGGAGAUUAAACAGGCUGGUGAUAAAAAUUAAUUCUGCUGAAUGAGCAAAUGCAUUUGGAUUGCAGAGAUGCAAAUAAGAUAAUACUUUUCUGUUCCUUUGACAUACCAAGCGGAUUACUUUAGAAUGUUAAAUUUGAUUUUAUUAGAAUAUAUUAGCAGUGUUUUAAUUAAUACCAAUCAAACAUUUUCUUUCCCUGAGGCUUGAUGUGUUCCUAACGCUUUCUAAAUCAUCUGUCCUUUAUCCAUCCAAAAACCCCCCACAAAAUUGCCAAAGCCUUUUGUUACAUUCUUCAUAAUUUUACUGUAUUCGAUAGAAAACUACAAGCUGUUUACCUAAAGGUGUCUUGCCCAUAAAAUUAGUUCCCAGGUGCUGGGUUUAAAAUGAGUACUAUUCAUUAGUACAGUUGAUUUUUUAAAAACGUGGAAUUAGAGACUCGAAAAUAAACAUCUUCUGUGUUUUUCUUUUGGGGAAAAAUGUUGCAAAAGGAGUUUUGGCUGGUUCGUAUGACUUGGCUUUAUUCUCACUAGAGCUUCCUAGAGCUGUUAAAUUUCCAACUGCAUUGGUUUUGAGCUGGCACUUCUUUGGAAACAGAGGCAAAAAAGGAAUUAAAAAAAAAUGCGGGGGGAGCAUCUAGUUAAAAAUACGGUGAACCAGUGUGCCCUGUGAACUGAAUUGUAACUGUGUGUUCCAAGGAGGUGCGCAUUGCAUUUCUCUCAUUAUCCCCUCCUUUUCUCUCAAGCUUCCUGUCCUUCUGUGUCCGAAAGCUCCAGUUCACUUCUUUCUCUUUUCUUCCUGCAAUGCACCCCCCCCACCCCUCAAUUCCCCGCCUUAUUUUUUUUUUUAUCUGCCAAGCUGGAUUUGCACUUUUAAAGAUCAGUAUCAAUAAUGCCCUGCUUGUUUCGGUUGCACUCUCCCUUUAAAAGACAGCCCCCUCUAAUUGAUGCGUCUGGGCUAGUCUAGACUGGUAGUGAUUGAACCAACCACCAAUUAUGUUAUUCAUUUCACUGAACUUCACUGAUGGGCUUGGUGAAGAAGAAGGGGUGUUGAGAAACCUGCCCUUACUGAAGCAGUUCCCUGCUGAAAUAUAAAAUCUUGCGUGUCGUUAUGCACUCGUAAGUGGCUAUGUGAUCAGUUGUAUGAUAGCAACCUCAGAACACGAGCAAUCCACUUGAAAACACGUAAAAAACCAAAAGAGUGCCUUGGAAUUACAAAUUGUAUCACUUGUAUUAAAUUACUAUCCUGCUAUCAUUUCAAAUCACAGAAGAAUUAUAUCUAGGAUGCUUUUAUUGAUCCAUGCAUACAUUUGCAUAGAAUAAGCUGCAGAUAAUUUUGACUUCCAAAAGCACCAAAUGUUUUGCAAAUAUUUGAUAUGAAUCACGUAGGAAUAUAUAUCCAUAAGUUAAAUAGAUGCCUUUCCAGAAUUUCCAAAUACCUAUGCAUACUCGUCAGCUAAGAUGGAGGAAAAUCAUUAAUCUAUUGUAGAGAAACCAAAAGAUGACUUGAAAAUCAAGUAACUCUUUCCUUUGAAGCUCAAUCUGACUAUCAAACCUGGAAAGUAAUAUUUAAAUAAUAUAACUACACAAGAGGUUUCAACAAAAGGCAUGGUGCAAUGUUGCACAGUUCAUCUUCUCAAUUCAGUUUUCUGAUACAAAAUGGUUUCUUGACUACAAUUUGGAGUCAAUGACUAAAAUUGCAAUAAACGCCUGAAAAAAAGCAACAGGAAAAGAACAGUUUCCUUAACCUUCGACUACACGUAUAAAAUGAGGUUACAACCAAUAUAAAGUCUUUAAAAGAAGAAAGCAUUUGAAGUCAGGGCUGAUUUAGGUAUUUUCCAAAAUAGAAGACAAAUGUUUGCCCAAGAAUACAAAAAUUGUUUAAAUGAAAUUGCAUAUUGGAAUUUUUCACAACAAAGGAAAGCUUUAAUUUACAACAAGCACGAAUGACUGCGAAGAAAAUGAGGCAUCGCUUUCCCCUUGGGCCAGCAUGCCGCAUGCAAAAUCAUAGAAAUCAGAAGGAGAAGACCAAGAGCGUGCACUUUGCCAGUCCUGCAAACGGGGCCUCCUCUGCAUCAGCUGCUUGGCUGAAGCCAAGGCCAAGUCACCCGAGCCAGCACCAGGCUGUCAUUUGGUAGACGCGAAGUGGGAAGGGGUGGGUGCGGGCUGCGAGAUACAGCUCCCCCGCCCCACGCCCGCCGCGGAGCCUUUGAAGCCGUUUGCCAAUAUUUCGGAGGAAUCCGAAGCAUAAUUCCCCUCCAUCUUCGCAGACAGCUACCGGUUCUGUACCUGAUAGAUAGUAGCUUUUCCCCAUCGCCUGGAAGCUGAGUUUUCCUGUGCAAAGACGGCUCCUGUGCCGCCUCCAAAAAUGAAACGAAAGGGAGGGGAAGUGGGUGGGAAGAUGACUCUUUUAAAAUUUUUUCUUCCCUUUUUUUCUGUCUUUUUUUUUCUUCUUUUAUUCUAGCCUGAGUAAGGUAGAUGGCUGGCUAGUCAGAGAGAAUGACAAAGCAGCCCCCCACAAGGAAGACACUGGAGGGGGCCUCAAACGCUUAGUAAAAAUUCUGAAUAUUUUGUAUAUAUUUCGGUAUGCAACUAAAACCCGUUAAAGCUCGGGGCUCUCUCCCCUUCCUCGCCCCACCUUUCAAAAUAGAAUCAUACCAGCAAGGCAGCUAAAUUAUGUCUCUUUUCCCUCUGUACAGGGUCUAUUCAGCAUCCUCACCACCCCCAUCUUCAAGACAACUUUUUUUUUCUCACCUCUGUAGGUUCUUCUCAGGCACAAUCCUCCGUUCACUUCAGGGUCUCUCCUUUUUCUCUCCCUUCCCUUUUCCUUUUCCUCUCAGAAAAGCUAGUCCGUCAUCAUCCUACCUAGCUUCUCUCUCUCUCUCCCAACCUCUCUCCCUUUUUCUUUUACUAUUAAAAAUAAUAAUAAUAAUAAUGGCCCUUUCGACAUAGCAGCAUGAAGUGGCUGCCUUUGAGAAAGCACAUUUAAUCUUUACUGGCUCCCCUAGGCUUCAGUGAAGAAGGAGAAGGCAAGAAAAAAAAGGGAGAGAGAGGAAAAAAAGAUUGUAAGGGAGGCUGCUGACGGACAGCAAGCAUCAGGCACAAAUCAGCGACAAGUUGAAUUUUCCUAGACCACACUGCCCCCUUUCUUCUCAGCUCUCUCCCUAGGCUCCUGGAAAGCCCGAGUGUCUGGUUACAGGAGGCAACGGGUCUCUUUUUGCCAACCAUGGUGCAGAUUCCUCGCAUGCCUGCUUAAAUCUCUGGUAGAAUAAGGAAUCAAUAUCCCCCUGUAAUCACCUUUAGCUCUUCUAUGGCUUCCCCUCUUUCCUGAGAAUCCACUUCGCUCCUCCAUACAAAGCUCGGCAGUCCUGUCAUUUCUCACUUCCUUCCAUAUCUUGGAGACAAGCCUCUCUUCUAAUACCCUCUUGCGCUCACUCCCUC